GCCUCGUUAGCUCAGUUGGUAGAGCAGUUGCCUCUUAAGCAAACGGUCGUAGGUUCGAAUCCUACACGGGGCACAA
rnacentral:tRNA from 1 species